rnacentral:rRNA from 1 species
UGGGGAAUAUUGGGCAAUGGGCGCAAGCCUGACCCAGCAACGCCGCGUGAGGGAAGAAGGUUUUCGGAUUGUAAACCUCUGUCCUGGGGGACGAAAAAAAUGACGGUACCCCGGGAGGAAGCUCCGGCUAACUACGUGCCAGCAGCCGCGGUAAUACGUAGGGAGCAAGCGUUGUCCGGAAUUACUGGGCGUAAAGGGUGCGUAGGCGGUCUUUUAAGUCAGAUGUGAAAUAUUCAGGCUCAACCUGAAGGGUGCAUUUGAAACUGGAGGACUUGAGUGCAGGAGAGGCAAGUGGAAUUCCUAGUGUAGCGGUGAAAUGCGUAGAUAUUAGGAGGAACACCAGUGGCGAAGGCGACUUGCUGGACUGUAACUGACGCUGAGGCACGAAAGCGUGGGGAGCAAACA